AGCGAACGCUGGCGGCAGGCUUAACACAUGCAAGUCGAACGGACACUUCGGUGAGAGUGGCCGAAGGGUGAGUAACACGUGGGAACGUACCUUUCGGUUCGGAAUCAUCUAGGGAAAGUUGGACUAAUACCGGAUACGCACUUCGGGGGAAAGAUUCAUCGCCGAUAGAUCGGCCCGCGUCUGAUUAGCUAGUUGGUGAGGUAAUGGCUCACCAAGGCGAGGUUCAGUAGCUGGUCUGAGAGGAUGAUCCGCGACAUCGGGACUGAGACACGGCCCAGAAUACUAGGCGAUGCAGGAGAGGGGAAUAUAGGACAAUGGGGGCAAGCCUGAUCCAGCCAGGCCGGGUGAGUGAUGAAGGCCUUAGGGUUGUAAAGCUCUUUUGUCCGGGAAGAUAAUGACUGUACCGGAAGAAUAAGCCCCGGCUAACUUCGUG
rnacentral:rRNA from 1 species